rnacentral:rRNA from 1 species
UGAGGAAUAUUGGUCAAUGGGCGGGAGCCUGAACCAGCCAAGCCGCGUGAGGGAAGAAGGCCCUAUGGGUCGUAAACCUCUUUUGUCAGGGAACAAAAGCGAGUAUGUAUACUAGUCUGAGUGUACCUGAAGAAAAAGCAUCGGCUAACUCCGUGCCAGCAGCCGCGGUAAUACAGAGGAUGCGAGCGUUAUCCGGAUUUAUUGGGUUUAAAGGGUGCGUAGGCGGCGAUGCAAGUCAGCGGUAAAAGCCCGGGGCUCAACCCCGGCGAGCCGUUGAAACUGCAGUGCUAGAGAAGGCGAGAGGUACGCGGAAUGCGCAGUGUAGCGGUGAAAUGCUUAGAUAUUGCGCAGAACUCCGAUUGCGAAGGCAGCGUACUGGCGCCUGACUGACGCUGAGGCACGAAAGCGUGGGGAUCGAACAGGAUUAGAUACCC